CAGGCCCACAGAAGGCCCUCAGAGACGGCGGGGGCGGGGAGGCCUGGGUUGGCCCAAGGCUGUGUGGUGCGUCUGCGCGGUCCUGCGCUGCUGCCGUAAUGCUGCAACUCCCGAGGAAAGGCACCUGCGCACCCCUGUCUCUUGGUGCUGGCUGUGCUCGCUUCUUCAUGGCCGCUGCCUUCCUUCUAGUCUUAGCCGCUUCUUAGACUGCAGACGGUGUAAUGAACAGGCGUGUUUUCCAAUUUUGUCGCCGCCACUCCCACCCUAACCAUGAGCAUGAGGACAAGGUUGAUGCAGCUGAGACAACUGUGAAAUCCAGACAGCUGGGCUUGCCUGACUACACACUGGUUUUGUCGUCCCUUUGAGAGAAAGAAGAGCAAAGCGCUCACAUGAGGGGAUCCCUGGCCUUGUCUGGAAAACUCAGAAAUGCUUAAAGAGCCGGAAGGCAUGAAAUUAUUUUUGUUUUGAAUAGCAUGCACAGCAAGAAGACUACCAUUCUUCAAGUUCCAAUUAAGGAACUUUUUUGAUAAGCUUAGUUCAUAAUUUAAAAGAGUUGGAUGUUUCCUGCAGGAUGUUCAAGACCAAGUUAAGACAGAGUUCUGCAUCUGAUAUCCUGUGACCAUAAAGAAUCCCUGUUUCACAGUUUGGAAAAUCUGUACAUCUGGAAGCUUGACUGAAUUGGUACAUCCUGAGCUUAAUAACAAUCUGUCAUAGCCACAUGAAAACUUUCUAUGGGGGAACCACGAGCAUCUCCUGAGAUCUGCACUAUGUUGGAUUUUAGGGUGCUGGGAAACCAAGCAAGCAGCUCCCCUCCUUGGUAAGCAGCUGUGGUGUGGUAGGCUGAGGCCCCUCCAGGGGGAGAAUGAUCAGCGUCUCCUGAGAUCCAAGCCACAUUGGAACUUAGGAUGCUGGGAAACCAAGCAAUGAGCCUGCCUCCCUGCUAAGCAAUAGUGAGCCUACUGGUGCACGGGCUGAGAGUCAAUCAUCCCACUUCCUCUACCCCCUUUCUUUUGCCCCCCAUCAGCAAAUGGGAACCAGAAAUCUGAGCAUCUCUUGGGAGUUUGACCAUAGCAAAUAAGGGGGAUUUCCUUCUACCAUCUCUUUGAAGGCAAAUAUUUUUAUUACUGUUUUGCUUUAUUCUGAUUAAUGAUACUGCUCUAUUCAAUAUUCUGUUUUGAUAAGUUCUAUAAUGUUCUGUAUUUCAUUUUAUUUUGAUAUAUGUAAUUGAAAGAACAUCUAUUGUGAAGAUAAUGAGAUAUACUGUGAUACCUAUUACUGUUAUCCCAGUACCCUGCUGUGAAGUUCUGUACCAAUUUCACUACACUGUCUCAGUUGGGUUUAUUCUGUGUUGUUCUGCUGUAUUUUGCUACCUUCAAAAUAAAAAUUUUA